UGGUGAAGUAGUAACUGGUUUGUCUUA
rnacentral:piRNA from 1 species